UUUCCGUAGGGUAAGUUUAACUCUGAUUGCUUCUGGCAAUCGCUAUUUAAGAAUCAAUUACUAACGUGUUUAUAGUGAACCUGCGGAAGGAUCAUUACCGAGUGAGCUCGCAAGAGCAACCUCCACCCAGUGUCUUAAAAAACAUUUUUAAACUCAAAAAGUAAAAUUAUGAGAAUAAAAACUUUCAACAACGGAUCUCUUGGUUCUGGCAUCGAUGAAGAACGCAGC
rnacentral:misc_RNA from 1 species